AGAGUUUGAUCAUGGCUCAGAACGAACGCUGGCGGCGCGCCUAAUACAUGCAAGUCGAGCGAGAAGACGUAGCAAUACGUUUGUAAAGCGGCGAACGGGUGAGGAAUACAUGGGUAACCUACCCUCGAGUGGGGAAUAACUAGCCGAAAGGUUAGCUAAUACCGCAUACGACUCUUGAUCUGCGGAUCGAGAGGGAAAGCGAUACCGUGGGUAUCGCGCUCUUGGAUGGGCUCAUGUCCUAUCAGCUUGUUGGUGAGGUAACGGCUCACCAAGGCUUCGACGGGUAGCUGGCCUGAGAGGACGAUCAGCCACACUGGCACUGCGACACGGGCCAGACUCCUACGGGAGGCAGCAGUAAGGAAUAUUGCGCAAUGGGCGACAGCCUGACGCAGCGACGCCGCGUGGGGGAUGAAGGUCUUCGGAUUGUAAACCCCUUUCGGCAGGGAAGAUGGAGCGGGCAACCGCUCGGACGGUACCUGCAGAAGCAGCCACGGCUAACUUCGUGCCAGCAGCCGCGGUAAUACGAAGGUGGCAAGCGUUGUUCGGAUUUACUGGGCGUACAGGGAGCGUAGGCGGUUGGGUAAGCCCUUCGUGAAAUCUCCGGGCCUAACCCGGAAAGUGCGGAGGGGACUGCUCGGCUAGAGGAUGGGAGAGGAGCGCGGAAUUCCCGGUGUAGCGGUGAAAUGCGUAGAGAUCGGGAGGAAGGCCGGUGGCGAAGGCGGCGCUCUGGAACAUUUCUGACGCUGAGGCUCGAAAGCGUGGGGAGCAAACAGGAUUAGAUACCCUGGUAGUCCACGCCUUAAACGAUGGAUACUAAGUGUCGGCGGGUUACCGCCCGGUGCCGCAGCUAACGCAGUAAGUAUCCCGCCUGGGAAGUACGGCCGCAAGGUUGAAACUCAAAGGAAUUGACGGGGGCCCGCACAGCGGUGGAGCAUGGUGGUUUAA
rnacentral:rRNA from 1 species